rnacentral:rRNA from 1 species
AGUGAACGCUGGCGGUAUGCCUAACACAUGCAAGUCGAACGGCAGCACAGUAAGAGCUUGCUCUUACGGGUGGCGAGUGGCGUACGGGUGAGGAAUACAACGGACUCUACUUUUUCGUGGGGGAUAACGUAGGGAAACUUACGCUAAUACCUCAUACGACCUACGGGUGAAAGCAGGGGAUCUUCGGACCUUGCGCGAUUGAAUGAGACGAUGUCGGAUUAGCUAGUUGGCGGGGUAAAGGCCCAGCAAGGCGACGAUCCGUAGCUGAUCAGAGAGGAUGAUCAGCAGCAGAGGAGAGGGGAUGCGGUCCAGAAUCGUAAGGGAGGCAGCAGCGGGGAAUAUUGGGGAAGGGGCGGAAGGCUGAACCAGACAAAGCGCGUGAGUGAAGAAGGCCUUCGGGUUGUAAAGCAAUUUUGUUGGGAAAGAAAGCAGCAGGUUAAGACGCCGCUGUUCUGACGGUACCCAAAGAAGAAGCCCCGGCUAACUUCGUG